rnacentral:rRNA from 1 species
AUUGAACGCUGGCGGCAUGCCUUACACAUGCAAGUCGAACGGUAACAGGGAGCUUGCUCCGCUGACGAGUGGCGAACGGGCGAGUAAUGCAUCGGAACGUGCCCAAUCGUGGGGGAUAACGCAGCGAAAGUUGUGCUAAUACCGCAUACGUCCUGAGGGAGAAAGCAGGGGAUCUUCGGACCUUGUGCGAUUGGAGCGGCCGAUGUCAGAUUAGCUAGUUGGUGAGGUAAAGGCUCACCAAGGCGACGAUCUGUAGCGGGUCUGAGAGGAUGGUCCGCCACACUGGGACUGGGACACGGCCCAGACUCCUACGGGAGGCAGCAGUGGGGAAUUUUGGACAAUGGGCGCAAGCCUGAUCCAGCCAUGCCGCGUGAGUGAAGAAGGCCUUCGGGUUGUAAAGCUCUUUCGGCCGGGAAAAAAUCGCACAGGCUAAUAUCCUGUGUGGAUGAUGGUACCGGAAUAAGAAGCACCGGCUAACUACGUGCCAGCAGCCGCAGUAAGAC